rnacentral:rRNA from 1 species
GUCCACACCGUAAACGAUGAUUACUAGGUGUUGGAGGAUUGACCCCUUCAGUGCCGCAGUUAACACAAUAAGUAAUCCACCUGGGGAGUACGACCGCAAGGUUGAAACUCAAAGGAAUUGACGGGGCCCGCACAAGCAGUGGAGUAUGUGGUUUAAUUCGAAGCAACGCGAAGAACCUUACCAGGUCUUGACAUCCGAUGCAUAGUGCAGAGAUGCAUGAAGUCCUUCGGGACAUCGAGACAGGUGGUGCAUGGUUGUCGG